UACGUAGGGACCGAGCGUUGUCCGGAAUCAUUGGGCGUAAAGAGCGUGUAGGCGGCUUGUUAAGUCUUGCGUGAAAUCUCGGGGCUCAACCCCGAGCGGUCGUGAGAAACUGGCAGGCUAGAGUGCGGGAGAGGAGAGUGGAAUUCCUGGUGUAGCGGUGAAAUGCGCAGAUAUCAGGAGGAGCACCGGUGGCGAAGGCGGGUCUCUGGGCCGAUACUGACGCUGAGGAGCGAAAGCGUGGGGAGCGAACAGG
rnacentral:rRNA from 1 species